rnacentral:lncRNA from 1 species
GAGACACCACGACGAUGAACGACAACAUCACCACCGCGAUGCGGUUCUGGAACAUUGAGUAAGACCGACAUAGCCACAUCCAGCUUGGGGUGUUCUUCCUCGUUUUACCGAGUAAGUUUUUAUUUGUUUUUCUUAUUUAUUUUUUUGUUUUAGUAUUUCAAAAAAAAGAGAAGCUUAGAAAACCCAAUAAAUACUUUCUUGCUUAAUUUCCUGCAUUCCUUAAAAAUGAAAAACCACAAAAAAAGUGUGUGUAGAUAAGUGUGCUUUAUUUUUCCUGCUAAGUUUAAUCUCUAGAAAAAAUGAAAAAACCAAAAAGAUGCUUGAUGGAAAUGAUAAACAGUUGCUGUAGAAAAAAUGAAAAAACCAAAAAGAUGC